rnacentral:lncRNA from 1 species
CCUUAAUUGCAGGUUUUCCUUUGGGUACCCAGCUUCAGGUGAAAAGGGUUUCAAGAAACACAAUUGAUGUAUUAAAAUUGAAAAGCGAAUUAACCUUGAGAUUGCAAAAUGGCGAAGAUCAAAGAAAAUAUAAACGAGAGAAAUUUCUAUAGAGCAAUAUGGCGUGGUCGUCUAUGUUACUUGGCAGUGAAUGGGCCAGAUCAAGCUCAAUACGUUGAGAUUAUCCAUGGCCCGAACAGCCCAAAGCAUCGAUUCAUAUCGUAUUUUAUAUAUAUAUAUCACCACUUAACAUAUUAAUUUACGAACAUAUGAUAUGGUGAGAAAUGAUUGAACCAAAAUCUCUUCAAUCAAAUAGAAGAAGAAUAAGGCCACUUAAUUAGGCUUAAAAAUAGGGGAGUGAAGAAACAAAUCGAUAUAUCAGAAAUGAUUAGGUAUUUUUGUUUUAAUUUUUCAAACUGUCCAACUAUGCGUUAAAACAUGUUCGAUCUUGAUUUGACCUUGAAUACGUAGCAUGAUUGUAAAAAAAAACUUUCAAUUUGUUCGACACCUCAUUAAUAUGUAAAAUUUUCUUUAACUCUUUUAUGCACAAUAUCCACAGGGGAUGACCCGGGGUCUUAUAGGGUCAAUUGACCUCCCAAUUUCUGUCUUCUUUCUUUUUUUGCUGCUUCUUAUUUUAUAUUUUUUAAUUUAGAAUAUCAAAGUUUAAAACCUAUAAUAUAAAUAUAUUAUGCAACCAAUAACUUCAAACUCAAUUUUAUGCCUUUGUUUUUCUCUCUCAAUCUGUCGAUUACAGACUGCCAUUAUCAUUUACGAUUUACCCACCGUUUGAAAGCUUGAUUGUGACCCCCUAACCUAAAGGGUCUAGAUCUGCUCCUGAAUAUCUAUGUUGGUAUAAUGAACAUGUACCAGAUGGCAAAAAAAGUCUAAUCAUGUCUAUCAUGUUGCUCCUUCCCAAUAAUUUGGGACAGUUAACCUUGUGAUGAGUUGAAAAUUGUUGGUUGAUCUUUUCUUUUUGAAAAAAUAAUACAAAUGCCUAGUUAAAACGAUAUGGUAAUAUUUUCAUUGCGCGUGUUUGUUCUCAUCGAAGAAUUGAAUCUCGUUAAAAAUAAGGGUAAUUGGUACAAAACGUUCCUACCUUUUAAGAUUUUUGUGAAAAACGUCCAUACCUUUCAUUUUUUAGGUUUCAAGAAACACAAUUGAUGUAUUAAAAUUGAAAAGCGAAUUAACCUUGAGAUUGCAAAAUGGCGAAGAUCAAAGAAAAUAUAAACGAGAGAAAUUUCUAUAGAGCAAUAUGGCGUGGUCGUCUAUGUUACUUGGCAGUGAAUGGGCCAGAUCAAGCUCAAUACGUUGAGAUUAUCCAUGGCCCG